UCAUAUGUACAUGCCUACAACAUUAAUGCAUCGAAUCCCAUUAUAACUCCUCAGUUAAGCAUGCUUGGGAUAGAGUAGUAUUGGCAUGGGUGACCUCCCGGGAAGUCCUAAUGUUUUACAUGCC
rnacentral:rRNA from 1 species